rnacentral:rRNA from 1 species
AGAGUUUGAUCAUGGCUCAGGAUGAACGCUAGCGGCAGGCCUAACACAUGCAAGUCGAGGGGUAAGGUUCAGCUUGCUGAACACACGACCGGCGCACGGGUGAGUAUCGCGUUUGCAAUCUACCUCUAACUGGGGGAUAGCCCGAAGAAAUUCGGAUUAAUACCCCAUAACAUCAUAAAAGGGCAUCCUUUAAUGAUUAAAGCUCCGGCGGUUAGAGAUGAGCAUGCGUGUCAUUAGUUUGUUGGUGAGGUAACGGCUCACCAAGACUACGAUGACUAGGGGGUCUGAGAGGAUGAUCCCCCACACUGGUACUGAGACACGGACCAGACUCCUACGGGAGGCAGCAGUGAGGAAUAUUGGGCAAUGGGCGAAAGCCUGACCCAGCCAUGCCGCGUGCAGGAUGACUGCCCUAUGGGUUGUAAACUGCUUUUGUGAGGGAAGAAUGGUUUCUACGUGUAGGAAUUUGACGGUACCUUAUGAAUAAGCACCGGCUAACUCCGUGCCAGCAGCCGCGGUAAUACGGAGGGUGCAAGCGUUAUCCGGAUUUAUUGGGUUUAAAGGGUACGUAGGCGGAAUAUUAAGUCAGUGGUGAAAUCCUGCAGCUUAA